UGCUGCACGCAUGUUUUCCAUUGCAAGCGCGGCUGCGCAUCAGGACGCCGCCGUCUUCUCCGGUGCGCCGCUCACUCGACGAGGGGUGAAAAAUAUCGAAAGAACGCUUUCACCCUGACAUGUGCACACAGCGCGACAUCUGUGCCCUGCGCCACUCCGUCAAAGACGUCGCAUCGUGUUGGAAGCGGGCAGAGCCCUAUGCGGAGUUCUGCCCCCCCCCAGCCUCCCCUCCUCACACACACGUUCCUCUCUGGCCGCUUCGUUGUUGAGGGGGCACAUUGCACUGCUUUCUAAAGGCCCCGUGUCCUUACUCAGAGCAGCGCAUAUGUUGGCUCACCGGCCUCUUUCGUGUCCCGCCCAUUCCGCCAGCUUUUGUUGCGCCCCUGUGGACCACACACACACACACACACACCAACGUGAUAUGGAAACAGGCGAGCAUGUUCGUGGGUACGCAAUGUACAUGGGCGUGCGUCCGUCACAUAUGCGACUCCUCCGAGACGUUCGUUCGGCUACUCUUCACCUUCCGCUACCUUGUCUCCCCAAAUCCCCUCUUCUCCUGCGCUUGCGCACACACUUGCACGUGUCUUUUCUUCCUCUUGCAACACAG
rnacentral:misc_RNA from 1 species